AUUGAACGCUGGCGGCAUGCCUUACACAUGCAAGUCGAACGGUAACGGGCCUUCGGGUGCCGACGAGUGGCGAACGGGUGAGUAAUACAUCGGAACGUGCCCGAUCGUGGGGGAUAACGAGGCGAAAGCUUUGCUAAUACCGCAUACGAUCUACGGAUGAAAGCAGGGGACCGCAAGGCCUUGCGCGGACGGAGCGGCCGAUGGCAGAUGAGGUAGUUGGUGGGUUAAAAGCUUACCAAGCAGACGAUCUGUAGCUGGUCUGAGAGGAGGAUCCGCCAACCGGGGAAUGAGACACGGCCCAGACCCCUAGGGGAGGCAGAAGUGGGGAAUUUUGGACAAUGGGCGCAAGCCUGAUCCAGCCAUGCCGCGGGCAGGAUGAAGGCCUUCGGGUUGUAAACUGCUUUUGUACGGAACGAAAAGCCUUCUUUUAAUACAGGAGGGUCAUGACGGUACCGUAAGAAUAAGCACCGGCUAACUACGU
rnacentral:rRNA from 1 species